ACUCUAAUAGUUUAUAAAAAA
rnacentral:tRNA from 1 species